rnacentral:rRNA from 1 species
AACGAACGCUGGCGGCAUGCCUAACACAUGCAAGUCGAACGAGACCUCCGGGUCUAGUGGCGCACGGGUGCGUAACGCGUGGGAACCUGCCCUUAGGUUCGGAAUAACUCCCUGAAAGGGGUGCUAAUACCGGAUAAUGUCUUCGGACCAAAGAUUUAUCGCCUUUGGAUGGGCCCGCGUUGGAUUAGCUAGUUGGUAGGGUAAAAGCCUACCAAGGCGACGAUCCAUAGCUGGUCUGAGAGGAUGAUCAGCCACACUGGGACUGAGACACGGCCCAGACUCCUACGGAAGGCAGCAGUGGGGGAUAUUGGACAAUGGGCGAAAGCCUGAUCCAGCAAUGCCGCGUGAGUGAUGAAGGCCUUAGGGUUGUAAAGCUCUUUUACCCGGGAUGAUAAUGACAGUACCGGGAGAAUAAGCUCCGGCUAACUCCGUG